CAGCGCCACGAGUGGUAACCACGUUUAUUGGGCCUAAAGCGUCCGUAGCCGGUUUGAUAAAUCUUUUGUGAAAUUGUACAGCUUAACUGUACAGCGUGCAAGAGACACUGUCAAACUUGAGACCGGGAGGAGUCAGAAGUAUUCCAGAGGGAGCGGUAAAAUGUUAUAAUCUCUGGAGGACGACCUGUGGCGAAGGCGUCUGACCAGAACGGAUCUGACGGUGAGGGACGAAAGCUAGGGGAGCGAACCGGAUUAGAUACCCGAGUAGUCC
rnacentral:rRNA from 1 species